UACGGAGGGCGCUAGCGUUGUUCGGAAUUACUGGGCGUAAAGCGCACGUAGGCGGCUUUUCAAGUCAGGGGUGAAAUCCCGGGGCUCAACCCCGGAACUGCCCUUGAAACUGGAUGGCUAGAAUCUUGGAGAGGCGAGUGGAAUUCCGAGUGUAGAGGUGAAAUUCGUAGAUAUUCGGAAGAACACCAGUGGCGAAGGCGACUCGCUGGACAAGUAUUGACGCUGAGGUGCGAAAGCGUGGGGAGCAAACAGG
rnacentral:rRNA from 1 species